GGAGACUUUAGAGUCCGCCCCUCCUAGUAGAGCUUCUGAGGACUUGCUAAGAGCAGAGGAAGAGCUGUGAAUAGUGGCUGAACUCCUUAUUUUAUUUACUAUCAAAGGAACUUGGCCAGAACGCAUAUCGCAUAUUUACCGUGGAAAGGGACCGAGGCCGUGUGAGACGUGUGUCCCAGUCUUCUCUCCUGAUCCCCGGGACUCCGUGACACUCUGCAACUUGGGGCACCGACCUCAGGGUCCUAAGAACUUUUGGGUGGAUCUUGUUACCACCCCUCUGGCCUUCGUGCUCCUGCCGGUCCACGUGUCUGAGAGGCCCCAUGCGUUAGACAGAUGUAUCAAUAAUCCAGGUACAUCUUCCAGAGCAGUUGGGAAUGUGUGUCCAGUCUCCCGGAGAGGUACAGCAUGUACAUCUGUUUCUGCUCCGUGCAGCCUUCCCUUCUCCAAUGCCUGGGACAGAGGGUAGAGGAAAGGGGCU
ensembl:lncRNA